UACGUAGGGUGCGAGCGUUGUCCGGAAUUACUGGGCGUAAAGAGCUCGUAGGCGGUUUGUCGCGUCGUCCGUGAAAACUUGGGGCUCAACCCCAAGCUUGCGGGCGAUACGGGCAGACUUGAGUACUGCAGGGGAGACUGGAAUUCCUGGUGUAGCGGUGAAAUGCGCAGAUAUCAGGAGGAACACCGGUGGCGAAGGCGGGUCUCUGGGCAGUAACUGACGCUGAGGAGCGAAAGCGUGGGGAGCGAACAGG
rnacentral:rRNA from 1 species